GAGGUUCUGGCCACAGGUCUACUCACCUCUUCUGCCUUCAGUCAUCUUCUGUGUGAGUGGUGGCAGUAAAACAGCACUUUGCAGACCACACCAGAGAGAUGCUGCAAGUUCCUGCAGUACUGGCCUGGCUGCCUCAGUAACUGCUGUAGUGUAGGAAAGAAAAGAUACAGAAGGUUACCCCCAAAGCAUGAAGAAGGAGAAGUACAGUGUAUUCAGAAACCCGAAAAUCAAAGCCAGGGCAUCUUUUGGGGUCAGAAUGUCUUAGUGCUUG